GUCACAUAUAUUUAUUAUCACACGACAAGUUAACAGUCAGCAGUUCAGUGGUUUUGUGUUUACAGUGUUAGCUUAUGUAUUGAAAUUAUUUGUACAGAAUAACUGUUACACAUUACAUACCACUGUAGAGUUGUAGUGUCAUUGUGUUUCAAAUAAGAUUACAAUCCUAAAAUCUAAAUGGCAUGGUGUUAACCAUGUUAUUUUUUUAACUGAAUAUAUUAGAGCACUACAAACAUUGAAUAGAAAUACUUUUUAGAGGGGAAACAAACAUUUACCUGAAACUUUGAUUUACGCAAAUGUAGAUUUGUCUUAACAAAAUUGUUCUCUAAAUUUAAUUUUUUUCUAAUAUGCCCCAACAAAUUAUUACCACAUUCACAUAAAGUUAAUUUCACCCAGUAACCAUAUCUUGGUAACAGUCAUGCAUUCUGAAUUAUUUAACUUGCCGUAUUUAAGCCGUAUAUUUCUCUGUCCUCAUUAAGUGCAACUUGAUGUUUGAUUGACCUAGUGCUAACUUAAAGGAACACUAUAGUUACCUAAAUUACUUUAGCUAAAUAAAGCAGUUUUAGUGUAUAGAUCAUUCCCCUGCAAUCUCACUGCUCAAUUCACUGUCAUUUAGGAGUUAAAUCACUUUGUUUCUGUUUAUGCAGCCCUAGCCACACCUCCCCUGGGUAUGAUUGACAGAGCCUGCAUGAAAAAAAAAAAAAAAAACUGGUUUCACUUUCAAACAGAUGUAAUUUACCUUAAAUCUCAAUCUCUAAAUUGAACUUUAA